rnacentral:rRNA from 1 species
GGGCCUGCACAAGCGGUGGAGCAUGUGGUUUAAUUCGAUGCAACGCGAAGAACCUUACCAGGCCUUGACAUCCUCGGAACUUUCUAGAGAUAGAUUGGUGCCUUCGGGAACCGAGUGACAGGUGGUGCAUGGUUGUCGUCAGCUCGUGUCGUGAGAUGUUGGGUUAAGUCCCGUAACGAGCGCAACCCUUGUCCUUAGUUGCCAGCACAUUAUGGUGGGAACUCUAAGGAGACUGCCGGUGACAAACCGGAGGAAGGUGGGGACGACGUCAAGUCAUCAUGGCCCUUACGGCCUGGCUACACACGUGCUACAAUGGCUAGGACAGACGGCCGCAAACCCGCGAGGGGAGCCAA